rnacentral:rRNA from 1 species
UACGUAGGGUGCAAGCGUUAAUCGGAAUUACUGGGCGUAAAGCGUGCGCAGGCGGUUAUGCAAGACAGAUGUGAAAUCCCCGGGCUUAACCUGGGAACUGCAUUUGUGACUGCAUAGCUGGAGUGCGGCAGAGGGGGAUGGAACUCCGCGUGUAGCAGUGAAAUGCGUAGAUAUGCGGAGGAACACCGAUGGCGAAGGCAAUCCCCUGGGCCUGCACUGACGCUCAUGCACGAAAGCGUGGGGAGCAAACAGG